GCGGGAUGAGAACCGGCCGAGGGGGGAUCUUGGCUCCGGAGCAGUCUGCCGGCCCUCGAGACCUUCCCUGCGCGGCCCCCAUUCCCGGCCCCUCCCACCCGGAAACCCGCGGUCAGAUCCACGUCUCCCAGCCCCCUCUUCUCCCCGCAGGAGAGGGGUGGGGGCGCCCGCCGCCCAGCCCGAACCCCGCCCCGCCGCCGCUGGGGCCCGGGACCGAGCGGAGGGCGAGGUCAAGGGCCAGGGUCUGACGCCCACCCUCGGCCCGCCGGGCCCCAGGCGUUGAACACCCUCACCCCACCCAACCAGCCCGGAAAAACGGACCUCAGCCCCAGCCGGACCCCAGGCCACUUUCCCCUAGGCUCUGACCACCGCCAAAAAUAAAUGCAGCCGGCAUCCCCACCCCACCAAGCCCGAGCCUCCGGAACUUUCCAAAGUUGCAAAGUUACGAGGGCCUCAGGAGCGGCGGGGGAGCGCGGCGGAUCUUCCGAGGCCCAGGGGUACCCCACGAGCGGGAAGCUGCCGGCGAUCCCCACCACCCUACCCUACUCCACGCCGAAGCCGGCGCGAGCCCCGCGGCCUCACCUGGGCUCCCCGAGGCCUCACCUGGGCUCCCCGAGGCUGUGCGCUGCUCUCCCGCUGCGGCUCAGGGGCUCUCUAGCUGCGCCCCCCGGCUCCGGCCCCGCCCGGCUCCGGCCCCGCCCCGGCUCCAGCCACAGCCCCCUCCCCCGUCGCCUCCCCGCCGAGUGGCCGCCAGCCUCCUUCAUGUGACGCGGGAACAGCUGCGGCCUGAGUCACCCGGCCCGCGUGGGGAGGGCCGAGCCCCCUGCCCAGUCAAGACCACGUGGCCCCUGCCCGGAAGACAGCGCCCACCCCCGCAAAGGGCAGGACCUCAGGGUGCCGGGGGCCCCGCUGGCGCCCCCAGCCUCUGCCAACUCAGGGUAGGAGAGCGCGACGGAGCGCCGCCUGAUUCUUCUGGCUCAGGGAAGCAGAGGAGACAUGUGAGAGCCAGAGGAGGGACGAGCGGCCCAGAGUUAUCCUUUGAGCGCCGGGUCCGGGCCGCAGAGUUCAGGUGCCACGAGGUAAGAAGCCAUUCUUCCUGGAGUGAUCGUGUGUGCUUCCAGCUUCCUCAGCCUCAACCCUACUCUUAUCAGACUCCAAGAUCAAUCUUGGCUGCAAACUUUGCUGGUGAGCAGGGAGAAGCCGCCAGCGAUGGACAGCUCCACCUUUUCUCAUGGCUCAGCCUGUGGAGAAGGACUUUGCUCUCUCAGACACGAAGAGAAAAGAGAACUUCAGGACAAGAGGAGGGGACAGUGGUCAGAAGCGCCAGCUAG
rnacentral:lncRNA from 1 species